UACGAAGGGGGCUAGCGUUGCUCGGAAUUACUGGGCGUAAAGCGCACGUAGGCGGAUCGUUAAGUCGGAGGUGAAAUCCUGGAGCUCAACUCCAGAACUGCCUUCGAAACUGGCGAUCUUGAGUUCAGGAGAGGUGAGUGGAACUGCGAGUGUAGAGGUGAAAUUCGUAGAUAUUCGCAAGAACAUCAGUGGCGAAGGCGGCCACCUGGACUGAUACUGACGCUGAGGCGCGAGAGCGUGGGGAGCAAACAGG
rnacentral:rRNA from 1 species